rnacentral:rRNA from 1 species
AUUGAACGCUGGCGGCAGGCCUAACACAUGCAAGUCGAGCGAGCGGCGGACGGGUGAGUAAUGUAUGGGGACUGCCCGAUAGAGGGGGAUAACUACUGGAAACGGUAGCUAAUACCGCAUACUAUCGGAUAACCCAUAUGGGAUUAGCUAGUCGGUGAGGUAAUGGCUCACCUAGGCGACGAUCCCUAGCUGGUCUGUGAGUAGAAUCAGCCUCACUGGGGCUGAGAAACGGCCGCAUCUCCUCCGGAGGCAGCGGGGGGGAAUAGUGCACAAUGGGCGCAGGCAUGAUACAGCGGUGCCUGGAGUAUAAAGAAGGCCCUAGGGUUGUAAAGUAUUUACAGUCGGGAUGCGUUACCGACAGAAGAAGCACAGGCUAACUCCGUACCAGAAGCCGCGGUAAUAC